AAAGUCGUAACAAGGUCUCCGUAGGUGAACCUGCGGAGGGAUCAUUAUUGAAUGGGCCCGCUGGGCCCUUCUACCCCUCAAACCUGUGGAAGCUAUCUGUGCUUCGGCGCCCCAGCGCCGUGUUUAUGCAAUGACCAGUCUGUUGUCUGAACUGGAAACAAAUGAUUAAAACUUUCAACAAAGGAUCUCUUGGCUCUC
rnacentral:misc_RNA from 1 species